CAAUCAGCAGUUGCUAACUUUUUUUUGUUAUGCAGAGUUCAUUAAAGAUGAUGUGGUUGCAGAAAACUCAGGUAGUGAUAACAAUCUGAUGAAGCCUUACUACAAGAACUUCAUUGCAAGGUCCCAUAAGUGCACAAAGACCUUGACUUUUCAGGUCUUGUGGUUUUCUUGGAUAUAGACAAGAACAUUGUAUAUAUGAAAGAAAUAUUGGACGAUGAGAUAAUUAAGCAAGUUUUGAAUCAGUAUACAGAAGAACAGUCCAAUAACGAUGAAGAAUGCAAGGUCGUCCCAAGAGUGAGGCUAUACUUAGCCAUCAAAUGGCUAUCAGGUUUGCAUUGUUUUUUUGAAACAGAUGAUAAUUCUGACAUACUUGCUUGCAUUGACUCUAUGGAAGAUUAUGUUUAUCAAAGUGUCACACUAAAGCAAACAAAAAUUAGU
rnacentral:lncRNA from 1 species